UGGUGGAGCGAUUUGUCUGGUUAAUUCCGAUAACGAACGAGACUCUGACCUAUUAAAUAGUUCGCCGAUUCCGAUCUGUCGGCGUUAACUUCUUAGAGGGACAAGUGGCUUUUAGCCACGCGAGAUUGAGCAAUAACA
rnacentral:rRNA from 1 species